CCCCCAUCUUGCUUGUCCCACAAUCUGUCAGCUCGCUUCUUUUCCCUUGGGUUCAGUCUGAAUCUUUAGAUUAGACUCAGUAUCCUACCAUCUUUGCCGCAUUCCUGAACCUCCAUAGCAAGCGAUGUAGAUCAGUUUUUUUUGGUAUUCCAUACUCCUCAUAUCCUACUUCAAUUGGCUGAUGGGAUCAGUCUCAUAGUGUUUUUCGUUACAAUUAGGGAGCGCUGUACAUCUGCCUCAUAUCCUGCUUCAAUUGGCUGAACCUACAGAGUGUAUUUAAUUAGUAUGAUGUUCACAGCAGGGGUGGAGCUACUAGGAGCCUCUGAUGCACAGGCAUCAGGGUCGAUGUUGAUUUCUUCAAGCGAUUGUGUAGAGUUGUUUGGCCGUGCACCAGGUUAGGCUGACAGCGCUGCAUCAGGUACAGAGACAAUCCCACGGCGGCCUUGUUUGGAACUGGUUCAUGGGUAGGCCAGGUCUUGUUCAGACGUGGCCAGGCCUUGGCGUAGCCUUGUGGGCUGUAGCCUUUUGGGUACGUUUGGUGUGGCUGGGCAUCAAGGCGUCAAUGCCCUUAGGUGUUGUAGGGUCACGCCAACACGCGAUCACUUGACGAACCACAUCGGAUGGGCGACGCUGCGCUAGGCUCGGUCUUUACACCUAGCAUCAUCCAUGCUAAUCCGAUCAGUCACUGACCUCAGCUCCAGCUCAAAGGUAGAGUAUGACAUAUAGAUGUAGUAAAUCUUAAAUCUCGGGUUAACCAUUGCAAAAAUUGUGCUUUUAGGCGGUAUCUUCUUUAGAUUUUUUUUAGUUCUAUGUACAGGGGUAUUCUGAAGUUGAGAAUUCAGUUCAUUUACUUGACUUUAUCAAAUGUGGAUAGCCACAAGACUGGAGACGCGAGACUUUGUGGUUAGUCUAAUAAUGUUGCAAUAAGUCGCUCCAUCGUCGUAUUUUCCCUCCUUUUUUGCAAUAAUUGUUCAUUCACAUUUUUUCAGAAACUAUUGCCAAUGUACUAAGUCUUAUUCAGAGAUUGUCAAUAUUGUUGGGCGUGUCCUGCUCUCCCUCUUUUAUAUUUGGUUGUUUGGUAUCACACUGAAGGUGCUAGAUGUAAUGUGGACUCAGGGCCAGAACAGAGAAGAACCAGAGCAGCUAGACUCGGGAACGCAGCCGAAAGAACGCCGAUAACCGUAAGAAACAGAAGACAAAACAUAAAAUUGGAUCAAAAUCUUACUCGCAAGUAAGCUUUGAGAAGGUAUGAGUCUAACUAAAUAUGUAUGCCUCGCUGCUAAAUAUGGUUUCG